UCUCUCUCUCUCUCUCUCUCUCUCUCUCUCUCUCGCUGUCUCUCUGUUUUGUUUUUUAGCCCUCCAAUGUGUAAAGGAUUCCAUUUAUUAAAAUCUCUCUGUGGAUACAUCUUGUGUGUUCUCUUUCUUACAGAGCAGAGGAUUAGGGUGGGUUUUCAUUGGAAUUGUUUUCCUUCCUAAGGGCAUUUAAAAAUACUUCCCAGAGACACUUUUGUUAAACUUACAACUUUGUCUAAUUAAAGUUUUCACUAGAAAGAAAUAUUUGUUUAGAUUGUUUCUGGAAUAUUAGUUCUGUACCAGGAGAUUUUUGUUUUUUUGCUACAAUGUAUAUGUUUUAUAGUGAACAGUUUUAUAAAGGGUAGACAAUUCUCCUAGGGAUUUUGCAGGGGCAUAUAAUUUGCAUUGAAAUGGCUUUGACAUGAAAGAAGUGCAUCUUUCCAACUGAUGUUCCUCAUGGAGCCAGCUUUGGAUAACUUCCUAAUUCAAGAAUGCAGACCACAGUAAGUCUUAUGCGCCUCUAAAUUUGACUUUGUUCUGUAAAAGCAAAAUACCUUUCAAAAUGAUUGUCCAGCUACGGACCUCUGUUGUCUUGUAGAAGGACCUGGGAACUACUCUGGCAUUAGAAGUUUCAAAGCAUUUCCUAAGAGAGUUAAUAACUGGAAUUCUAACUAAUCAGCCACAGAGCUUGGAAAGUUAAAAAUAUACAAACUCAAUCUUUCACAGGGAAUGAUUUUAAACCUAAUCACCUGGUGAUAAGAAUUUUAAUCUAUUCAAAGUCAACCACCAUCGAACUUUUAUCUUAAGCAAACAGAGAGUCUACCAGAUGUGGCUGAUAGAGUUGAAUGAUUUUGACUCUGCCUGUGGUCUGUUUAAAUUGUGAUUCCCUACAGUCUGUGAUUAUACAGCGGGAAAGAUUCAUUUUUCUAGUUUAAUCAGAUGAGACUAUAGCUUCUUAUGAUUAAACUCAUUUUAUACAAAAAAAAUUCCUGACAUUUCUCCAAUUUGGAUUCUUAUAUAAUACUAACAUGUACAUAUUCCUAUUUUCUUAGAAAAUCUAGGAAAUUUAGCAAAUUCUGAAGGCACAAAAAGAAAAAACAAUCUUGACCUCAAAAUAAAGACAGCCAGCAACAGUCAGCCUUGCAAUGAAGAAAUCCCCACAAAUGGCAAUAAUCAGACAUUCAGAAUGUUUGGGUGAGGCACAGUCCCAAGGACCGGGCAGGGAUUUAUGUGGUUAAUUCUCAGGACAACACUGUAAAGUAGUUAUGAGCUGUGUUUUACAAAUGAGAAUGUGAAGUCCAAGGAGUCAAAUGACCUCCCAAGGUCGUGUGACUAAUACCUUACAGGCCUGUGUCUUAACCUUAGAAGGGCAGCUACGGGAUGAACAGCCUUGACCACCAUCCUGGGGUUUCUCUUGGUUAUGCACUCCUCAGUGUGAAUGCCUGAGAUGUCAAGUUUAGUUAGCCUCUGACCGAAACUCACCCCCCUACUCAGCAAGCCAGAGAAAGAGGAGACACUAGGAACAAAAGAAAGACCACAGUCACUGCCCUUGAAAACACUCCUAGGAAUUCCUUAUGGGUCUUUAUCUGUGGAAUGCUUUUAUCAUGAUGUACCUGGUCUGCCGAGGUUACUUACAGUAAAUUCAUUUAUAAUUGUGGGACAAGAUUUGCCAAAAAGGAAUAUUGCAUCAGUAUGUAAUUUUCUGAUUGGAAAUGUCAGUAUUCCAUGACUGAACUAUCUCCUCUUGUGUAAGACGUGUUUAAUACAGUGGGGUUUAAUACCAUGUGCCUACAGGCUUCACCUGCAUCUCACAGUCACCUGUAUCCUUUGAAUCACUGGUAAAUUUUGGCCCUGUGUAAGACGUGUGAUUUCUGUAAGUCUGAUUGGAGAGUCUGGUUCUCACUGUCAUAUCAAAGAGUUUCCUUUACAGUCAAGCUCUUUUGAAAUUCCAAGAUGUUAGCUGGUCUUCCACCUCUGCCUAUUUAUUCCUUAUAAUACAGAACUAUUAAUGGCAUAUAUUGAUACACAAUGAAUACAUUUUGGUUCAGUAAAAAACUGCCAAUCAAGGGGGGACAUCGUGGGUUAAAUUGAAUGCUAAGAUGCUCAGGAAUCAAAGUGGCAAGUGGAGACGUGUGUGAAAGGGAUGCACACAGAGGGUGUCGCUGGCAUCGGGAGGGUUAGGACUGGUGAGUCAGUGAAGGAAGAAGGACCAGAGCAGGCGGACGUGGACGACACACGUGGGACUCACAACCAGUGUGGGCCUGGCACGGCCAGGCUUGAAACUGCCGUAAAACAUGGAGUGGAUCAUUUCCUUCUUUCUACGAGUUUUUUAUUUUUUAAUCGGAAGACACUUUCAUGAUGGACUUUAAGGAAAAAGUAGGUCAGAGAUUUAUAUUCUCCUCAAGGCUUACCCAGUAUAAUUGAAUCGAUGGGCUUGUAAUUUUUUUCAGAUGCCAUUACAUCUCCUUGGUGCUGCACUUUGUAAAUUGUAAAUGGACAGCUCAAUCUUCUUGUCAGGUUCUGAAAGCAUAUAUCCACAGACUAUUCCAGAAAGUAUCUGGGAACUCUAUUACAAAGGCGCCAGGCAAUCACAGGAAAGUCCUUCUAGAAGGAGGCUCCCUGCCAUGGCUUUCCACAUAGCUCUCUGGUGUACUGCUGGACCUACGCGGGUGGGAGUUACAGCCUGGGAGCUGCUCUGUCCCUGCAGAGGUAAACAGCACUUGCAUCUGAUAAGAGGUCGGGCCACACAGCUGUAGGCUUUUCAGGUCUCUAAUGUCUGAGAGACAAUAUGCAUUUGUGUGGAAAUGGCAAGUUGCUUCACAAUGAGGUCAACUCUAAAGAAGACUUGGACACGUGUGAUUUUUAUCAUUGUGCCGCAGGCUGUCAUGCCGAAGGAAGACACUAUGAUUUACAGAGAUCUUCUAGCUCCCUGUCAUUCCUGGAGUCUUCUGUGGAAUCCUUCUUCAUAAGAAAGGUAUCAGGAGACUUACGUAAGACUACAGUUACCAACAACAGGAAACUCAGCUUUGCAAUUUUGUUCUUAAAGAAGAAUCUCCAUUCUGUCCCACCCACAUUCUUUCAAAACAUCUUAGAAAAAAGUGUCUGUUCCUACUGCCUCCCAACCUGAAAUAAUUUGACAGAUUGCUCCUGAAAUGAAUCUAAACUUAAUGCAAAAAAUAAAACUUUCAAAUUAAAAAAAAACACAUAUAAAUAAAGCUGUACACAUAAGUUUUACUUAGCUUUAUGGUAAUUUGACAUAUUGUUGUAUUGCUUUUAGGCUCUUGGUAAAAAAUCAAAAGUGUUCGUUCAUUUCAUGAUAAAAAGUACUGUAUGUUUACUGUAAGUAUGUAAAGUGGUAUGUGAUUAUAUAUGUGAAUAUGGUACAUGAACAAUAUAUUUUUGCAAUACAAUAACUUGA